rnacentral:rRNA from 1 species
UGGUAGUNCACGCCGUAAACGCUGAGUGCUAGGUGUUAGGUCCUUUCCGGGACUUAGUGCCGACGCUAACGCAUUAAGCACUCCGCCUGGGGAGUACGACCGCAAGGUUGAGACUCAAAGGAAUUGACGGGGGCCCGCACAAGCGGUGGAGCAUGUGGUUUAAUUCGAAGCAACGCGAAGAACCUUACCAGGUCUUGACAUCCCGAUGCCCGCUCUAGAGAUAGAGUUUUACUUUUUGUACAUCGGAGACAGGUGGUGCAUGGUUGUCGUCAGCUCGUGUCGUGAGAUGUUGGGUUAAGUNNNNNAACGAGCGCAACCCUUAUUGUUAGUUGCCAUCAUUAAGUUGGGCACUCUAGCGAGACUGCCGGUAAUAAACCGGAGGAAGGUGGGGAUGACGUCAAAUCAUCAUGCCCCUUAUGACCUGGGCUACACACGUGCUACAAUGGUUGGUACAACGAGUCGCAAGCCGGUGACGGCAAGCUAAUCUCUGAAAGCCAAUCUCAGUUCGGAUUGUAGGCUGCAACUCGCCUACAUGAAGUCGGAAUCGCUAGUAAUCGCGGAUCAGCACGCCGCGGUGAAUACGUUCCCGGGCCUUGUNC